UACGUAGGCAGCAAGCGUUGUUCGGAGUUACUGGGCGUAAAGGGUGUGUAGGCGGUUGGUUAAGUUUGGUGUGAAAUCUCCCGGCUCAACUGGGAGGGUGCGCCGAAUACUGAAUGACUAGAGUGCGGGAGAGGAAAGUGGAAUUCCUGGUGUAGCGGUGAAAUGCGUAGAUAUCAGGAGGAACACCGGUGGUGUAGACGGCUUUCUGGACCGUAACUGACGCUGAGACGCGAAAGCGUGGGGAGCGAACAGG
rnacentral:rRNA from 1 species